GACGAACGCUGGCGGCGUGCUUAACACAUGCAAGUCGAACGGUAAGGCCCUUCGGGGUACACGAGUGGCGAACGGGUGAGUAACACGUGGGUGAUCUGCCCUGCACUUCGGGAUAAGCCUGGGAAACUGGGUCUAAUACCGGAUAGGACCACUGCCUGCAUGGGUGGUGGUGGAAAGCUUUUGCGGUGUGGGAUGGGCCCGCGGCCUAUCAGCUUGUUGGUGGGGUGAUGGCCUACCAAGGCGACGACGGGUAGCCGGCCUGAGAGGGUGACCGGCCACACUGGGACUGAGAGACGGCCCAGACUCCUACGGGAGGCAGCAGUGGGGAAUAUUGCACAAUGGGCGCAGGCCUGAUGCAGCGACGCCGCGUGAGGGAUGACGGCCUUCGGGUUGUAAACCUCUUUCAGCACCGACGAAGCGCAAGUGACGGUAGGUGCAGAAGAAGGACCGGCCAACUACGUGCCAGCCGCCGCCGCGG
rnacentral:rRNA from 1 species